CUGACUUCACUGCAAUCACACCUGCAGGGUCAUUAUGUAACUCGGUGAACGCUUUAAAAUCACAGUCACGACAACAAAUGACAGCGAUUUUUCGUUUUUGCGAUCAUGUAACACACAUCUCCCACCGAAAUGACGUCAUCUUGGAUCGUUCUCUGUCACGGUCACUUGUAGGGAUUUAUCCAAGUUAUAACGCAGUUUUUACGUAUCGAUAGUCAGUUUAAGCGAUUAUGUAAGCAUAAUGAUCAUACAACUGGGUGACACAGAAGUUGUCAAAGUCAAUCGCUAUAGAAACUAAUACCGAGCAGUGUUUUAAUAAAGUUUACUUGACGCCUGUGAUUCAAUAAUUACAAAUAAAAGUACUUUUAGGAUUUUUUUGAAUUUUGUACUAUACCUUGUAAGUAAGGUAUUAGUUUGUAAGUCAAUAAAAUCAGAAUUAGAAAAGUUUUUCAUGUAAAAUAUGACGAAAGUUGAGAAUAUAUAGUAGGUACCUACCUACAUACUUAUUUCAUAAAGCAGAAUUACAGUUUUAGAGUUAGUUGAAGUGAAUUUAAUUAAUUGUGUUAUUUUUGUAGUGUUUACCGACAUUGCCAUGUACAAUACAAUGCAUGUAGCAUUUGUAUUGUACGCGGAAACGGAACGAAAAAGAUGUCUUUGUCGAGUUCAUUGCAAAACUUUCGUGUCGCGAUACCAGCAGGUUUUAGAAGAAAUACAAAGUCUUCGAACAACUGCUGUUCGCAAUGAAUUAGAGAUAAGUAAGUUAUAUGAAUGAAUGAAGGAAUUUUCUUCAUUCUCUGCGUUGAGCAAGUGACGUGGACUAUGGGCCUAACCCCUCUCAUUCUGAGAGGAGACUCGAGCUCAGCAGUGAGCCGAAUAUGGUACUUUUAUAUGGUGAGCUUCCAUCGUAGGAUAAGUUGGUUUAAGAUUUGGAGUAGGCUUAUUCAGUACUAGCAGACACACCAUAGUUUGACCGGUGUAGUUCCCGUUCCUGUGGGAAUAUGGGGUAGCACAGAGUAAUACGGGCUAUAUUUUAUAUAGCCUAUAUUACUCUGUGCUGUAGCUUACCAAUGGUGAAAGAUUUUUUAUAAUCAGUCCAGUAGUAUUUGUGUUAGAUUGUAAGAAACAAAUAAUAUUAUCUAAAGAUCGGUCACUGUCAUCCUAAGAACCUAAAUUAAACCAUUGAAUAUUAUUUACAGGUCUUGGCAGCUUUAAACUUUUAUGCCAAUGGAUCAUACAAAUGGCUUUGUGAUGGCUAAGGCAUCUUUUAGCAAAUGCCUACAUGAAGUCGCUGACGCUCCUGAAUACCCCAGCUGUUUAAAAAAAAUGUGUUAAGUUCCCUUUGCAUUAAACACAAAAUCAUUAUAAAUAAAUAUGUGAUGCCAAUCUAAUAAUAACAUAGUGGAUGCUCAAUUUGGUGGUGCAUCUUAUGACUUGUACAUAUGGAACCAGUGCAAUAAGACCACUUGAGGAAAACCUGCCCAAUAGGGACCGCUGUUGGUUGUUAGGUGACCAAUGUUUGCAUUAUGACCCCCAUCUUGGGAGCUGCUCCUAGAUCCCAUGAAGAUAUGCACAACAUUGCUGUGUCAGAAAUACGGUGAAGCCUUGUAGUUGGGUGCAUAUUGUAAAAUGUUUCCUCACUCCAAAACCAUGAACUCUGGUUUCCUAAACCAUCAAGCUAUGCAGCCGAAGGAGGAGACUUAUCACAGGAGAAUCACUAAUAAUUUUGAAGAAGUGAAGAGCUUAACAAUGUUUCAACCAACACCUAAAGAAGCUUUCACUUGGCUGUUAGAUCAAGGGCUGGAUACAGAAAACAGUAAUCCUUGUGAUGGCAGUAUUGUCCAAGGAUUCCUCACUCAAAACCAUGAUAACAAGUUGCUAGAACCCUCAAGCUAUGCAGACAAAGGACUGGAUAUAUUUUUUCGUGACCAAGCCUUCUGUAUAAUUAUUUAUACUUAAACCAUACAAAGCACUAUCUAGCCCCAAAGUAGGCAUACAGAGUAGCUUGUGUUGUGGGUACUAAGAUAGUUGAUAUUAUAAUAUUCAUUUACAUUUAUAUACUACCUAUAAAUACUUAUAUAAUGUAUAAAUACACACACACUGGAAAAAACCCAUGCUCUUCACACAAAUAUUUUCCAGGUGUGGGAAUCGAACCCAUGACCGUGGAUGCAGGAGCACUACUUACUGCGCCACGCGUAUGUGUUUUUAUUUUGAAGCAAAUUAUUAAAGUUGAUAAUUCAAAUUGUAGUCAUGUUUUUAAUUAAUCUAUAAUUAAUUUUUAAUUUACAUUUUUGUUAAAUAUUUACCUAUACUUCAGUCUAUUUUUGUUAGAGGGGGUACCUAUAUGUGUAAGUAGGGUCGUUUCUUGAUUAAAUUAAACUAAAGAAUGAAAGAUAUAUAUUAUAACAAAAUUUGUCAACAACAAUAUAUCAAGUCUGAAUAAAAAAUACCAACACAAGUAAA